rnacentral:rRNA from 1 species
GAUGAACGCUGACAGAAUGCUUAACACAUGCAAGUCAACUGGUGGCGGACGGGUGAGUAACGCCUAAAGAACUAGCCUCACAGCUAGGGACAACAAUUAGAAAUGAAUGCUAAUACCUGAGACUGUGAGAGAGCGUUGCGUCCCAUUAGCUAGUAGGAGAGGUAACAGCGCACCAAGGCGAUGAUGAGUAGCCGGCCUGAGAGGGUGAACGGCCCCAAGGGACCUCAGACACGGCCCUUAGGCCUACGUGAGACAUCAGUGGGAAAUAGGGGACGAUAGGCCGAAGUGUGAUCCAGCAAUUCUGUGUGCACGAUGAAGUUUUCGGAAUGUAAAAUGCGUUCAGUUGCGAAUCGGUACCAACAGAAGAAGUGACGGCUAACUACGUGCCAGCAGCCGCGGUAAUAC